UUCCGGUUGAUCCUGCCGGACCCGACCGGUAUCGGGGUGGGGCUAAGCCAUGCAAGUCGUACGUCCUCCAGCCACGUGGGGGACGUGGCGCACGGCUCAGUAGUACGCAGCUAACCUACCCUAAGGAGGGGGAUAAUCCCGGGAAACUGGGGCUAAUCCCCCAUAGACCGGGGGUACUGGAAGGUCCUCAGGUCGAAACGGGUGAGCUGGCAUGCCAGCUCACCUGCCUUAGGAUGGGGCUGCGUCCGAUCAGGUAGUUGGUGGGGUAAAGGCCCACCAAGCCUAUGACCGGUGCGGGCUCUGAGAGGAGGAGCCCGGAGAUGGACCCUGAGACAAGGGUCCAGGCCCUACGGGGCGCAGCAGGCGCGAAACCUUCGCAAUGCCCGAAAGGGUGACGAGGCUACCCCGAGUGUCGUCCGCUAAGGACGACUUUUGUCGGGUCUAAAAAGCCCGACGAAUAAGGGGAGGGCAAGUCUGGUGUCAGCCGCCGCGGUAAUACCAGCUCCCCGACUGGUCGGGACGAUUAUUGGGUCUAAAGCGUCCGUAGCCGGCCCUGUAUGUGGUCCGUUAAAUCCAGCGGCUCAACCGCUGGGCUGCGGAUCAUACUACGGGGCUAGGGGACGGGAGAGGCCGGGGGUACUCCGCGGGUAGGGGUAAAAUCCGCUGAUCCGCGGAAGACCAACAGUGGCGAAGGCGCCCGGCCAGAACGCGCCCGACGGUGAGGGACGAAAGCCAGGGGAGCGAACCGGAUUAGAUACCCGGGUAGUCCUGGCCGUAAACGAUGCCCGCUAGGUCUUGGUGAAGCUUAGGGUUUCACCAGGGCCGCAGGGAAGCCGUUAAGCGGGCCACCUGGGGAGUACGGCCGCAAGGCUGAAACUUAAAGGAAUUGGCGGGGGAGCACCACAAGGGGUGAAGCCUGCGGUUUAAUUGGAGUCAACGCCGGG
rnacentral:rRNA from 1 species